UACGAAGGGGGCGAGCGUUGUUCGGAAUUACUGGGCGUAAAGGGCGCGCAGGCGGCCUCUUGAAGUCAGAUGUGAAAGCCCCGGGCUCAACCUGGGAAUUGCAUUCGAGACUGCUCUGCUAGGGUGCGGAAGAGGGAAGCGGAAUUUCCGGUGUAGCGGUGAAAUGCGUAGAUAUCGGAAGGAACACCAGUGGCGAAAGCGGCUUCCUGGUCCAGCACCGACGUUCAGGCACGAAAGCGUGGGGGAGCAAACAGG
rnacentral:rRNA from 1 species